rnacentral:rRNA from 1 species
GAUGAACGCUGGCGGCGUGCUUAACACAUGCAAGUCGAACGAACCUUCGGGUUAGUGGCGGACGGGUGAGUAACGCGUGAGAAUCUGCCCUCAGGAGGGGGAUAACGGUUGGAAACGACCGCUAAUACCCCAUAUGCCUAUUGGUGAAAUGAAUUUCGCCUGAGGAUGAGCUCGCGUCUGAUUAGCUAGUUGGUGAGGUAAUGGCUCACCAAGGCUUCGAUCAGUAGCUGGUCUGAGAGGAUGAUCAGCCACACUGGGACUGAGACACGGCCCAGACUCCUACGGGAGGCAGCAGUGGGGAAUUUUCCGCAAUGGGCGAAAGCCUGACGGAGCAACGCCGCGUGAGGGACGAAGGCCUCUGGGCUGUAAACCUCUUUUCUCAAGGAAGAAGAUAUGACGGUACUUGAGGAAUAAGCCACGGCUAAUUCCGUGCCAGCAGCCGCGGUAAUACGGGAGUGGCAAGCGUUAUCCGGAAUUAUUGGGCGUAAAGCGUCCGCAGGCGGCUUUUCAAGUCUGCUGUUAAAGCGUGGAGCUUAACUCCAUCAUGGCAGUGGAAACUGAAAGGCUUGAGUAUGGUAGGGGCAGAGGGAAUUCCCGGUGUAGCGGUGAAAUGCGUAGAUAUCGGGAAGAACACCAGUGGCGAAGGCGCUCUGCUGGGCCAUUACUGACGCUCAUGGACGAAAGCCAGGGGAGCGAAAGGGAUUAGAUACCCCUGUAGUCCUGGCCGUAAACGAUGAACACUAGGUGUCGGGGGAAUCGACCCCGUUCGGUGUCGUAGCUAACGCGUUAAGUGUUCCGCCUGGGGAGUACGCACGCAAGUGUGAAACUCAAAGGAAUUGACGGGGGCCCGCACAAGCGGUGGAGUAUGUGGUUUAAUUCGAUGCAACGCGAAGAACCUUACCAGGGUUUGACAUCCUGCGAACCUCUUAGAAAUUUGAGGGUGCCUUCGGGAAUGCAGUGACAGGUGGUGCAUGGCUGUCGUCAGCUCGUGUCGUGAGAUGUUGGGUUAAGUCCCGCAACGAGCGCAACCCACGUUUUUAGUUGCCAGCAUUUAGUUGGGCACUCUAGAAAGACCGCCGGUGAUAAACCGGAGGAAGGUGUGGAUGACGUCAAGUCAUCAUGCCCCUUACACCCUGGGCUACACACGUACUACAAUGCUACGGACAAAGGGCAGCAAACUCGCGAGAGCUAGCAAAUCCCAUAAACCGUGGCUCAGUUCAGAUCGUAGGCUGCAACUCGCCUACGUGAAGUAGGAAUCGCUAGUAAUCGCAGGUCAGCAUACUGCGGUGAAUACGUUCCCGGGCCUUGUACACACCGCCCGUCACACCAUGGAAGUUGGCCAUGCCCGAAGUCGUUACUCCAACCCUUGUGGAGGAGGACGCCGAAGGUGGGGCUAAUGACUGGGGUG